CCAGCCCCAGAGGCAUUGCAGGUGUGGUUGUUGUGUCAUGUGUGGGUCUUUAGGUGGCAGAGAGGAGAAAGGCCAUGUCCAUGCUUAAUGUUCUGACCUGUAAAUAUCUGAAUGGUUAAUAGCCUAAGAUU